rnacentral:rRNA from 1 species
GACGAACGCUGGCGGCGUGCUUAACACAUGCAAGUCGAACGGACCUUCGGGUUAGUGGCGAACGGGUGAGUAACACGUGGGUGAUCUGCCCUGCACUUUGGGAUAAGCCUGGGAAACUGGGUCUAAUACCGGAUAGGACCACGCAUUUUAUGGUGUGUGGUGGAAAGCUUUUGCGGUGUGGGAUGGGCCCGCGGCCUAUCAGCUUGUUGGUGGGGUAAUGGCCUACCAAGGCGACGACGGGUAGCCGGCCUGGGAGGGUGACCGGCCACACUGGGACUGAGAUCCGGCCGAGACUCCUACGGGAGGCAGCAGUGGGGAAUAUUGCACAAUGGGCGCAAGCCUGAUGCAGCGACGCCGCGUGAGGGAUGACGGCCUUCGGGUUGUAAACCUCUUUCGCCAGGGACGAAGCGCAAGUGACGGUACCUGGAGAAGAAGGACCGGCCAACUACGUGCCAGCAGCCGCCGUAAUAC